rnacentral:rRNA from 1 species
UACGGGGGGGGGCAAGCGUUGUUCGGAAUUACUGGGCGUAAAGGGCUCGUAGGCGGCCAACUAAGUCGGACGUGAAAUCCCCAGGCUCAACCUGGGAACUGCGUCCGAUACUGGAUGGCUUGAAUCCGGGAGAGGGAUGCAGAAUUCCAGGUGUAGCGGUGAAAUGCGUAGAUAUCUGGAGGAAUACCGGUGGCGAAGGCGGCAUCCUGGACCGACAUUGACGCUGAGGAGCGAAAGCCAGGGGAGCAAAGCGGG